UCCCUGAUGGUCUAGUGGUUAAGAUUUUGCCUUCCAAUGCAGGAGGUACAGGUUUGAUCCCUGCUCGGGGUG
rnacentral:tRNA from 1 species